rnacentral:misc_RNA from 1 species
GCCACAACUACCUGACAGACAUUUUAAUCAUUAGCUUUGGCAAUAACAAAUUAGCACAAACCAUAGCCAAAAAAACAAGAUAGUCAUAGAUUCUCCUUGGUAGUAAAAGUGUUGUGCUUAAAUAGGCAUGCAAGGAUGCACCUCAGAUCAAAGAUGCAAAUGUUAACGUGUGAUAAGAUCAUACCAUGCUGAUGAUAAAGUUAAAACUGGAAAAGACUACAGGCAGCUAAAAGCUUUGGCCAGAUUAUGCCCUAAAAGUUGCAAUGUCAUUGCCAUUAUCAGUCUUUAGAAUCUAUACAUAUUCAACAUUUUCUUAGCAAGCUCUAGUCCUCUCAACUGAUGUUAACCAGAAUACGGUAUGGUCAUAUGUUCUGCAAAAGGGCUAUAGCAAU